GAUGAACGCUGGCGGCGUGCCUAAUACAUGCAAGUCGAGCGAACAGACGAGGAGCUUGCUCCUCUGACGUUAGCGGCGGACGGGUGAGUAACACGUGGAUAACCUACCUAUAAGACUGGGAUAACUUCGGGAAACCGGAGCUAAUACCGGAUAAUAUAUUGAACCGCAUGGUUCAAUAGUUAAAGACGGUUUUGCUGUCACUUAGAGAUGGAUCCGCGCCGCAUUAGCUAGUUGGUAAGGUAACGGCUUACCAAGGCAACGAUGCGUAGCCGACCUGAGAGGGUGAUCGGCCACACUGGAACUGAGACACGGUCCAGACUCCUACGGGAGGCAGCAGUAGGGAAUCUUCCGCAAUGGGCGCAAGCCUGACGGAGCAACGCCGCGUGAGUGAUGAAGGUCUUCGGAUCGUAAAACUCUGUUAUUAGGGAAGAACAAAUGUGUAAGUAACUAUGCACGUCUUGACGGUACCUAAUCAGAAAGCCACGGCUAACUACGUG
rnacentral:rRNA from 1 species